rnacentral:rRNA from 1 species
CCUACGGGAGGCAGCAGUGGGGAAUAUUGGACAAUGGGCGAAAGCCUGAUCCAGCCAUGCCGCGUGUGUGAAGAAGGCCUUCGGGUUGUAAAGCACUUUCAGUGGGGAAGAAAGCCUUGGGGCUAAUACCCUCGAGGAAGGACAUCACCCACAGAAGAAGCACCGGCUAACUCCGUGCCAGCAGCCGCGGUAAUACGGAGGGUGCGAGCGUUAAUCGGAAUUACUGGGCGUAAAGCGCGCGUAGGCGGUCUGAUAAGCCGGUUGUGAAAGCCCCGGGCUCAACCUGGGAACGGCAUCCGGAACUGUCAGGCUAGAGUGCAGGAGAGGAAGGUAGAAUUCCCGGUGUAGCGGUGAAAUGCGUAGAGAUCGGGAGGAAUACCAGUGGCGAAGGCGGCCUUCUGGACUGACACUGACGCCGAGGUGCGAAAGCGUGGGUAGCAAACAGGAUUAGAUACCCUAGUAGUC